UACGGAGGGUGCGAGCGUUGUCCGGAAUCAUUGGGCGUAAAGGGCGCGUAGGUGGCCCGGUCAGUUCGUGGUGAAAGCGCGGGGCUCAACCCUGCGUCGGCCAUGAAUACUGCCGCGGCUGGAGCACUGUAGAGGCAGGCGGAAUUCCGGGUGUAGCGGUGGAAUGCGUAGAGAUCCGGAAGAACACCGGUGGCGAAGGCGGCCUGCUGGGGCGAGUUGCUGCACUGAGGCGCGACAGC
rnacentral:rRNA from 1 species